GUGUAAUCGCUUUUCAGCUCUGUAAGCCAGCGCAAUGUCCAUGGAUGGUGCACAUUGACAACUACGUAGCCAUGUCUACAAACGAUUUAUCUCGGAAUAGAAAGAAGUCGAGAAAGUGCAAAAGAAGAAAUGAGAAGGUGGCUCCCGGGCUGUCACCAGUUAAGCAAAAGGGAGUUUGAAAGACAAUUCAAAAAAAUAAUUUUUUCUACGGAAAUACGAGGGAGUAGAGCUUGCAUUAUGCACAAAGCGAUUUGGUAUCGCAGAAAACGUUUGUGCGUGUGUGUGUGUAGUUUGAUCAAAUAACCCGAAUUGCGCAUGUCUUUUCAUAUUUAGCAAGAAAAAAAUAGUGACAAGAUAUUGUAACAUCAAAUUCGUCAUUCAAGUGUGAGUUGUCACAACUAAACAUGUUACAAUAUCUUAUUAUUUUCUCUCUCUCUUCUUGCUUAAAUAUGAAAAGAUAUGCGCAAUCUGGAUAUUAUUCGAUAAAUCACACAUGUAUAUAUAUAUAUAUUACACGCGUGCACGCGCCUACACACACGCACACAAAUAGCGGUGCACAUAAGGGCGGCUUUCCGAUGAAAAACGCUCAACAAACGUUCAACAAUGGAAUUUGCUAUCCAUGUAAGAGAGAUAACACGUAUAGUAAUAAUGAAUAAUAAAAAAAAAAAAAAAAGAAAAAAGAAUUUUUUAAAAAAGAAGAUUUUACUCCCUAAAAUAAAUUUUUGCGUCGAUUGAACGAUCCGGGAAAGAGAAAAAAACUGAUAGCUAUGAAAUCGUUCGUGUUGAACGCAACCGUUUACACCAUUUAAGAUCCUUACGUAUAUCACACACGCAUCGACAAUUACAACGCAAGUCGGAAUAUAUCGAUACAUAUAAUAUAGUAAUAAUGCUUAUAAAACUUAACACAACAAGCGAAUCGAUAAAGAUAUCACCGUGCAGAGUUCGGUUGUUAGAGAAAGUGCCUCGUAAAAUCAUCCUCGGCACGACCAACGACGACGCUGCAGGCAGUGAUAAUGAGCUAUCUAAUUUGUAUAUCAAUAGUUACAUUAGACUCUACGUAUUGUGUGUGUAUAUAUGUGUAUAUAUAUGCAUAUAUACAUACAUACAUACAUACAUACAUACAUACAUACACA